rnacentral:rRNA from 1 species
AGGGAAUCUUCCGCAAUGGACGAAAGUCUGACGGAGCAACGCCGCGUGAGUGAUGAAGGUUUUCGGAUCGUAAAACUCUGUUGUUAGGGAAGAACAAGUACCGUUCGAAUAGGGCGGCACCUUGACGGUACCUAACCAGAAAGCCACGGCUAACUACGUGCCAGCAGCCGCGGUAAUACGUAGGUGGCAAGCGUUGUCCGGAAUUAUUGGGCGUAAAGCGCGCGCAGGCGGUUUCUUAAGUCUGAUGUGAAAGCCCCCGGCUCAACCGGGGAGGGUCAUUGGAAACUGGGGAACUUGAGUGCAGAAGAGGAGAGUGGAAUUCCACGUGUAGCGGUGAAAUGCGUAGAGAUGUGGAGGAACACCAGUGGCGAAGGCGACUCUCUGGUCUGUAACUGACGCUGAGGCGCGAAAGCGUGGGGAGCGAAC